CCUCCUUGUCAAAGCCUGAUCUUGUCAGAUCUCAGACGCUAAGCAGAGCCUGGUUAGUACUUGGACGGGGAGACUGUUGGGAAUAUCAGCUGCCACAGUGGGGC
rnacentral:rRNA from 1 species